UACGUAGGGGGCAAGCGUUGUCCGGAUUUAUUGGGCGUAAAGAGCUUGUAGGCGGUUUGUCGCGUCUGCUGUGAAAAUCCGGGGCUCAACCCCGGACUUGCAGUGGGUACGGGCAGACUAGAGUGUGGUAGGGGAGACUGGAAUUCCUGGUGUAGCGGUGGAAUGCGCAGAUAUCAGGAGGAACACCGAUGGCGAAGGCAGGUCUCUGGGCCACUACUGACGCUGAGAAGCGAAAGCAUGGGGAGCGAACAGG
rnacentral:rRNA from 1 species